CUGGAAUCGCUAGUAAUCGCGGAUCAGAAUGCCGCGGUGAAUACGUUCCCGGGUCUUGUACACACCGCCCGUCACACCAUGGGAGUCGGAAAUGCCCGAAGUCUGUGACCCAACCUUAGGGAGGGAGCAGCCGAAGGCAGGUCGGAUGACUGGGGUGAAGUCGUAACAAGGUAAC
rnacentral:rRNA from 1 species